rnacentral:rRNA from 1 species
UACGUAGGGUGCAAGCGUUAAUCGGAAUUACUGGGCGUAAAGCGCGCGUAGGCGGCUUUGCAAGUCGGGUGUGAAAUCCCCAGGCUUAACCUGGGAACUGCAUUCGAGACUGCAUUGCUAGAGUAUGGGAGAGGGAAGUGGAAUUUCCGGUGUAGCGGUGAAAUGCGUAGAUAUCGGAAGGAACAUCAGUGGCGAAAGCGGCUCACUGGUCCGGUACUGACGCUGAGGUGCGAAAGCGUGGGGAGCAAACAGG